UACAGAGACCUCAAGCGUUAUCCGGAUUCAUUGGGCGUAAAGCGUCCGCAGGUGGUUUCUUAAGUUGGGAGUCAAAUCUUUGGGCUUAACCUAAAGACUGCUCACAAUACUGGGAAACUUGAGACUGGGAGAGGUAUACGGAACUGUUGGUGUAGUAGUAAAAUGCGUUGAUAUCAACAGGAACACCAAAGGCGAAAGCAGUAUACUGGAACAGUUCUGACACUCAUGGACGAAAGCGUGGGGAGCGAAUGGG
rnacentral:rRNA from 1 species